AUUUCCCUAGUACGGCGAGUGAAGAGGGAAGAGCCCAAGAUUGAAAGCUGGCGCCUUCGGCGUCCGAUGAAUCUCAAGAAGUGUUUUCCGCUUCGGACCAUGCCUAAGUCCCUUGGAAAAGGGCAUCAUAGAGGGUGAUAAUCCCGUACAUGGCAUGGAGCGCCCGAAGCUUUGUGAUACGCUUUCUAAGAGUCGAGUUGUUUGGGAAUGCAGCUCAAAAUGGGUGGUAAAUGCCAUCUAAGGCUAAAUAUUGGGGAGAGACCGAUAGCGAACAAGUACAGUGAUGGAAAGAUGAAAAGAACUUUGAAAAGAGAGUUAAACAGUACGUGAAAUUGCCAAAAGGGAAGGGUAGGAGGUCAGAGAUGCGUUCUAGGAUUCAGCCUUGCUUUUGCAUGGUGUUUUUUCUAGUUUGCAGGCCAACGUCGGUUUUGGGCACUGGAGAAGGGUGGAAGGAAUGUGGCACCUCUCGGGGUGUGUUAUAGCCUUCUACUGGAUACAGCGACCGAGACCGAGGACAGCAGCGUACUCGCAAGAGCGGGCCUUCGGGCACCUUUACGCUUAGGGCGUUGGCAUAAUGGCCCUCUACCACCCGUCUUGAAACACGGACC
rnacentral:rRNA from 1 species